rnacentral:rRNA from 1 species
GUCAGCAGCCAUAUCAUCUUGCAUCUCACAACUGGCAACCCUCUGAAGCUAAGCAGGUGGGAGCCUGGUCAGUACCUGGAUGGGAGAGCUGGGAAAAACUGAGGUUGCUGCUGGAA